GAUGAACGCUAGCGGCAGGCCUAACACAUGCAAGUCGAGGGGUAGAACACUUCGGCGUUUGAGACCGGCGCACGGGUGCGUAACGCGUAUGCAAUCUACCUUGUACAGGGGAAUAGCCCAGAGAAAUUUGGAUUAAUGCCCCAUAGUAUAUAACCUUCGCAUGUUGGUUAUAUUAAAGUUCCAACGGUACAAGAUGAGCAUGCGUCCCAUUAGUUAGUUGGUAAGGUAACGGCUUACCAAGACGAUGAUGGGUAGGGGUCCUGAGAGGGCGAUCCCCCACACUGGUACUGAGACACGGACCAGACUCCUACGGGAGGCAGCAGUGAGGAAUAUUGGUCAAUGGGCGCAAGCCUGAGCCAGCCAUGCCGCGUGCAGGAAGACGGUCCUAUGGAUUGUAAACUGCUUUUAUACAGGAAGAAACAACUCUACGUGUAGAGUCUUGACGGUACUGUAGGAAUAAGGAUCGGCUAACUCCGUGCCAGCCGCCGCAGUAACAC
rnacentral:rRNA from 1 species